rnacentral:lncRNA from 1 species
AUGUUAAUGAAGUCGGUAAUUAAUUCGUCGCUUUGUUGUCGGUUCUUAUACUGUAUGUGUAAUCAAAUGUGGCCGUCCUUGGGAUUUACAGCAAUUAACGAAUUACGGGCGCGCGCUCCAGGCAGCCGGCGCUCGGCGGCCCGGCUGGGCGCGCGGCGGGGCCGCCAGCCUCGCAGGUGGCUCUGGAGCUUUGGGCCCAGGCGUCCCCACGAGCCCCGAGCGGCUCCGGGUGUGCCCAGCUCCUCCCGGGCCCUCCGAGACCGCCCCAGGCCGAAGAGACCCGUUGGCUGUCGCGUUCCCAGGAGUGGCGACUCUCUGGGGGCCCGGGCUGGGGGGAGGAGGAAUUCUGCCCAGACUCUGCAGCAGUUCGUAGCAAGCAAGCUUUCUCCUGAGUGUCUCCUGGAAAAGUUGCAAAAUUGCUCUUCACCUGUAAGAACAUGCUUUUUAUCUUCCAGUCUCUUCUUGUCAAUUCGGAAAUUGCAGACAGCCGGGCUCAGCCUUAAUGUUUUGUCAGGAAAUGGGCAGAAGGAGCCAGUGGUAUGUGACUGAAGCUUUUCUGCGUUACGGUUUACUGUGGAAUCAACUCUGCAGGCUGGGAUUUGAUUUGGCUGUGACUCUGGUCAGGGCAAAACAAGUGCAAUGUGUCUCUCUUUCUGUUGUGAUCCAUGGUGAUGUCCGCACGACAACUGCUUCAGUGAAAAGUGAAACCUUUUAGUCCAUUAUCAGGUACUUUGCAAUGGUCAGACAUCGUCACAAUAUAUGACUCACAGGUUUCAACUGUCAGCUGAAUGUGUUGGCACUGAUUUGUGAGUGUUCACUGGG